CAGGUGGACUCUGGUGCCAACGCCACGGCCACAGCUCGCUGGCCUGGGGGCAAUGUCAGCGCCCGCUUUGAGAAUGCCUGCCCUGCCUUGGUGGCCACCUUCGUGCCCGGCUGCCCCUGGGAGACCAAUGAUACCCUGUUCUCAGUGGUAGCACUGCCGUGGCUCAGUGAGGGGGAGCACGUGGUGGAUGUUGUGGUGGAAAACAGCGCCAGCCGGGCCAACCUCAGCCUGCAGGUGACGGCGGAGGAGCCCAUCUGUGGCCUCCGCGCCACGCCCAGCCCCGAGGCCCGUGUACUGCAGGGAGUCCUAGUGAGGUACAGCCCCGUGGUGGAGGCCGGCUCGGACAUGGUCUUCCGGUGGACCAUCAACGACAAGCAGUCCCUGACCUUCCAGAACGUGGUCUUCAAUGUCAUUUAUCAGAGCGCGGCGGUCUUCAAGCUCUCAGACGCUGCCAUGGCUGUGGGUGAGUGGAGGGAGGGACGCCAAGCAGGGCAGGCCUCUCACCUGCCACCUGGGCCCACUGACGCCUGUCCCUGCAGCUGACGGCCUCCAACCACGUGAGCAACGUCACCGUGAACUACAACGUCACCGUGGAGCGGAUGAACAGGAUGCAGGGCCUGCGGGUCUCCACAGUGCCGGCCGUGCUGUCCCCCAAUGCCACGCUGGCACUGACGGCGGGCGUGCUGGUGGACUCGGCCGUGGAGGUGGCCUUCCUGUGGACCUUUGGGGAUGGGGAGCAGGCUCUCCACCAGUUCCAGCCUCCGUACAACGAGUCCUUCCCGGUUCCAGACCCUCGGUGGCCCAGGUGCUGGUGGAGCACAAUGUCACGCACACCUACGCUGCCCCAGGUGCUGAUCCGGAGUGGCCGGGUGCCCAUUGUGUCCUUGGAGUGUGUGUCCUGCAAGGCACAGGCCGUGUACGAAGUGAGCCGCAGCUCCUACGUGUACCUGGAGGGCCGCUGCCUCAAUUGCAGCAGUGGCUCCAAGCGAGGGCGGUGGGCUGCACGUACGUUCAGCAACAAGACGCUGGUGCUGGAUGAGACCACCACGUCCACGGGCAGCGCAGGCAUGCGACUGGUGCUGCGGCGGGGCGUGCUGCGGGACGGCGAGGGAUACACCUUCACGCUCACGGUGCUGGGCCGCUCUGGCGAGGAGGAGGGCUGCGCCUCCAUCCGCCUGUCCCCCAACCGCCCGCCGCUGGGGGGCUCUUGCCGCCUCUUCCCACUGGGCGCUGUGCACGCCCUCACUACCAAGGUGCACUUCGAAUGCACGGGUUGGCAUGACGCGGAGGAUGCUGGCGCCCCGCUGGUGUACGCCCUGCUGCUGCGGCGCUGUCGCCAGGGCCACUGCGAGGAGUUCUGUGUCUACAAGGGCAGCCUCUCCGGCUACGGAGCUGUGCUGCCCCCGGGUUUCAGGCCACACUUCGAGGUGGGCCUGGCCGUGGUGGUGCAGGACCAGCUGGGAGCCGCUGUGGUCGCCCUCAACAGGUGAGCCAGGCCGUGGGAGGGCGCCCCCGAGACUGCCACCUGCUCACCACCCCCCUCUGCUCGUAGGUCUCUGGCCAUCACCCUCCCAGAGCCUAACGGCAGUGCAACGGGGCUCACAGUCUGGCUGCACGGGCUCACCGCUAGUGUGCUCCCGGGGCUGCUGCGGCAGGCCGAUCCCCAGCACGUCAUCGAGUACUCGCUGGCCCUGGUCACCGUGCUGAACGAGUACGAGCAGGCCCUGGACGUGGCGGCAGAGCCCAAGCACGAGCGGCAGCGCCGAGCCCAGAUACGCAAGAACAUCACGGAGACUCUGGUGUCCCUGCGGGUCCACACUGUGGAUGACAUCCAGCAGAUCGCUGCUGCGCUGGCCCAGUGCAUGGGGCCCAGCAGGGAGCUCGUAUGCCGCUCAUGCCUGAAGCAGACGCUGCACAAGCUGGAGGCCAUGAUGCGCAUCCUGCAGGCAGAGACCACCGCGGGCACCGUGACGCCCACCGCCAUCGGAGACAGCAUCCUCAACAUCACAGGAGACCUCAUCCACCUGGCCAGCUCGGACGUGCGGGCACCACAGCCCUCAGAGCUGGGAGCCGAGUCACCAUCGCGGAUGGUGGCGUCCCAGGCCUACAACCUGACC
rnacentral:sRNA from 1 species